UUUUUUUAUUUUUUUUUUUUUUUUUUUAAUNNNNNNNNNNNNNNNNNNNNNNNNNNNNNNNNNNNNNNNNNNNNNNNNNNNNNNNNNNNNNNNNNNNNNNNNNNNNNNNNNNNNNNNNNNNNNNNNNNNNNNNNNNNNNNNNNNNNNNNNNNNNNNNNNNNNNNNNNNNNNNNNNNNNNNNNNNNNNNNNNNNNNNNNNNNNNNNNNNNNNNNNNNNNNNNNNNNNNNNNNNNNNNNNNNNNNNUCCCCCCCCCCCCCCCGCAAAAAAAAGGUUAUCCUUCAGCUGUCCUCGUGUAUUUGAGUAUAAAUUUCCACUGGUCCCCUUAACAUCCUAGCCAUCAUACAUUGUGUCGCCUGUCUACAUUGAUUCAAGAAGGUUUAUCUUCCUAUUAGCUUCCACUAGUCUAUGAAUAACUUUUGUAUUCGAACCCCCUUCUUACAGACAUGGUAUCAUAGAUUUUUGUCCGUGCAUGCUCCUUUAGUGUUCUAAGCCAUUUCUUCUUGGCAAGUUACAUGUUUGUCAUAUAUAUGAUAUAGUGCACUCUGAACAAACAAAUGGAGCUAAUUUAUCAAUUAUGAGGGCUAAAAAGCUCAAAAUUUUCUAUUACAGAAUCCACUUACUUGCAUGUAGAAUGUGUUAAGUCAUUGUAUCCAUCCCUGCACCGAAAAUUGGAGUUAUCAAAAGGAAUACAUUGUGCUACCAAACAUUUGCAAUACAAAAAACAAAGUGGAUUGCAGCACAAACACCACGGAGAUGAUUUCAUCAGAAAAUCAUACAGAGGACAUUCACCAUAACACUAAAAACAUGACUUCCUAUACAAAUGAAAAAUGAUAAGUUCAUAGUUUCGUUAUUUUAAUUUAAAACAAGAUCUUUUUUUAUGACAUUAAAACAAGAUCAUUUUAACAUCCUAAAGCUUUAAUUAGCUCAUUGUAUUUGGACAGUAAGGAAGUUCCCGACAUGCAAUAACACAAGCAACAGUCUACAUUACAUUGAUUUUGAGGUAGGGCAAUGCUAAUGUGACAUAAUCAUUGCACCCAAAACCAAUAAGAGGAAAAGCAACACCUUAAAACAGCAGCAGCCAACAAUUUGUGCUUAGCACUCAAAUAUGUAAGAAUUUAAUGCUAAUAAUCAGCUUCAUCACAUAUCAGAACUAGAAAGCUCAUCAAUAGGAAAAUCUUUCCAAUUGGCUGCACAAAGUAAAACCCACUCUGAUGAAAGAGAUAGUAGACCAUCAAAAAAGUAGCACAGUAUGUAUACAGAAGCAUGUUUAUAAGUUCUUUUGGGUUAUAAAGAAAAAAUGCUGAAAGAAUGUCAAACACUUAAUGAGAUUCUUAUGGCCAUAUCAUUAAGGGGAAUACAUGAAAUCUCCAGGGUGACUGAACAUUUUAGGUAGACCAUGACGACAACAACAACAAUAACAACAUUUUAGGUAGACCACGACAUACUUUUUAUAAUGCGGAGCAUCUCUGUCAAGUCGAGCAAGGGUUCCAGCUAAAAUAGACACCUGCAUAAAUCCAGAUUAAAGCAAAGAGAAAUAGGAUAUGAAAAUUUCUUAAAAAAAUAUAGCCCCUCAAAAACAAUCAAAAGGAUGCAACGAAAGGAAAGACAGAGCCAUAUGUCAGCAUUCAACAAUCAAAAGCAUAGUUUACAAGCAGAUUACACAUCAAAGAGUUAUGCAUCCCCUCUACACGUUUUAAGUGAUAUCAGGCCUCCAAAGUUUUUCUCGAGUCAUAAUGCCUCCAUCAUGGGCAUUUUUCGACAGGUACGCCACCUCCAUCAAAGUUACUAAGAGUCGGAACACUCAUUCCAGAAAGUUCUAACCCAUUUACUGAUUCUUUGAAGAUGCUAUAACGAGUAGGCAAAGUUUCAUUUCAUUCCCUUCUGAUCAAUUACAGGAAACAUUAGUCAUAAUGUGACUGAAUAUGACAAGUUCAGUAGAAUAAUAAUGUAAAAAGGUCCUUUCAUGUAAAAAGUAUUCCGCUUGGAUACAUCAUUCAUAAAGCAAGGUAGGGAAAUGAAUAAAACCUCAUCCACAUACCUUCUCUCCACUGUCAUUACCAACAACCCUGAUUUCUAGUCCUACACAAGCAUCCUCCGGAGCAAGGGGAAUCUCUUCAUAGCUCAAAAAUUGUAUUGCAGCAGGAUCAUAACGGAAGAAUCCGAAGUCAUGAACCUAAAAGGCGAUCAAUAAGUUUCACUCAUGACAAAAUAAAUAAGUAUGGAAUAUGAUUGUCAAGUAUGCUUCAGCAAUUCUCAAUGUCCUUAUAAACCUAUGUAUAACAACAAAUAGGAGUCAACACAGACAUAGUUCUUCUGCUUCAUUUUGUAUGGUACACUUAACUUCUAGUUUUUUUCAUAAAGAAUGACACAUUUUUUAUAUUUGGAAACUCUUAACUUUUAAACUUUCCAUGUUACCCUUAAUGGCAUGCGCUUAUAGUCAUAAAAAUUGUCAAGGCAUGUAAAAGGCUAUAAGUUCUAACGGUAACUUUGGUAUGUGGUAAAAGUUGUUCUUUCUUCUGUGUCCAGUCAAAUAUAGCCUAAUAAAAUGAAAAUGCGGGAGUAUCACUAAGUGUUUCUAUUUGUUAUGGAGACCUUUAGUAUACUACUGGAUUGGGUAGUGGAAGGAGGAGUUAUGACUUAUCAUUUGUUAAACAGAUAUGGAUAUGGGUGUGAGUACCUGAAAUAGGCACGAAUAAAGUGUCCGAAUCAUCAUUGCUUUCAUAAAAUUUCAAGGGACCCAAAUAAAAGUAAAGGAGUCAAUGCUUUGAUCCAACUAAAAAAUAUACACAGACAAUUACUCAGAAUUGUUGAAAAUUAACUCAUUUUCAAUUAACAAGGUGAAUUCAAUCCAUUGUUAUUUUAAAAUGUGUAAUAACUGACAUCAAAGUUUAAAAUCUAAAUAAUUCAAUAACUGGCAUCUUGAAAAAUGUGUAGGUUGUACACAGUUAUUUUGUUAGUGAAAGUAUUGAGAAACAUCUCAAAAAUGAGAAGACUUGCAUUAUAUAUUCAGACGAGGAAUAUAAAACUGAAAAGAUAGCAAAGACGAGCUUGAAAAUGAACUCACAGGGUCUCUAUAAAUGGGAUAGAUUGGUAUCUCUUCACGGUUCACAAACAUAGCUUCAGCCACCACGGGUCCUAGGAAGCAAAUAACAAUCAGCACUUCCAUCCGACAAAGAACUGAACUUGAAAAGAUAUAUAUUUAAUUUGCCGACUUUUUCAGUUACUAAAAACAAAUUAAUGCUUGUUAUCACCAGGUUUUACAACAUGUCGAUUUGUAAGAAUAAUCCCGCGACGCUUAUCAACGACGAAGCCCGUAGCAUAACUUGCACCAGCAGCCUCGGUGUCAAAUGCUCGGCAAGCAUUGGUCCGGAGAACGACGACGGCGGGAACCACCUUGUCAAGAGCCUUUCGCCAAUCUUCUGUGGUAGCGAGACUCUCCUUGAACGGAGGAUCUAUAUCCAUAGACAAUUCCUCCUUCAUUAUACUCGAUUCUGGUCCCAAUGCUUCCUCGGAUCCUAACCUCUCCAGCGAAUCGCCCAUUUCGAAACCCUAACUUCCCUCUCGGAGUAUCAAUGACGCAAAGACGAAAGACGAAAAUGCUACUUAUGAUGCUGAGAUAUGUUGCCGACUCCGAUGGAAGGGGAGAGAAUAUUCCGGCGAGGAUGAAGGAUGCUGUUCUCAACGAGUAUUAGAAGAUCGGCGGCGAGUGCUUUAUUCAGUCAUUCGUUUUUCUUUCUCCGAUGCUUUAUGUACAGAAUAUCCAAUUACCAAAAAAAACCUCUACUUUUGUUUUCUUCACGUGUGCUAAACCCCGUUAUCUGUAUUUUGGUAAUCCGUAAUUAAGAAACCAUAACGGUCUCUGUGUAAUGACCUCGCAUAUAUAGUCCCUUAAACUUGUCAAAACUUAUCAGGUAGACUUCUUGAAUUUGUUGAUGUGGUCAAUUAAGUCCCCUCGUGAUAUUUUGGCAAAUGACUGUAAAUUAUUAUUUUUUAUAAUAUUUCUUUGAAGAUAUCUUAUAAAAUCACUCGAAUAAAAUCAUAAACUUAAAGAAAUAGCAAUAGAGCGGGAGUGCAGGACUAAUGAUAUGCCGUGUGGGGUAGAGCAGAUUGAAAUAAUCUUUUUAAAAAUAAUGUAUGGCGGCGGAUUUGGGGUAAAAAAAUAAAACCUAAAAGUUGCUUUAUUUAUGAAUAAUGUUGAAAAAAUGUCAUAAUGAUUUUUGAACUAUUGAAAUAGGUUUAGAAUGAACGCUUAAUUAUAUAUUAGUUUUUUAAUUAUCUCAAAUAUUAUUGAAUUUGGUCUCUUUAACUAUAAAUUUAUUGAUUUUAAUUUUUUUUUAAGUAUUCAAAAAAAUUCUCAGGUUUGGUCUCCAUCUAUUUUACAAAUAUCGUAGUUAUAUUAACAAAACACAUGUUUUCGUGAAAUUAAAUAUUUUAUUCAUUUUUUCAAUUGUUUUUCUCUCCCUGCUACUUUUUCUUCCAAUUACUCUUAUGAAAAUAACUUAAUCUUAACAAUUCAAAAUAAAAUGUCCCCUUCUUUAGCAGUAACAAUUCAUACUCAUUGUAAAAAAAAUAAAAAAAUCAUAUAAAAUAAGUAAAAUAUUUGAUCUUAUUAUUCAAAUUUCUCUACGUAACAUAAAGUAAACAGAAUAAUAAAAUUGAUCUAUUUCAAAAUAAAACAAAUCAAAAAAAAAGUUGCAAAUCUACAUUUUUGUAAAUUUCAACUUCUAAAAAAUUAAACAAACUCCCUUUAAUAAAGUCAUUGGAGUACAAAAAAAUUGGAAUCAAACUAUGUGAGUAAAAAAACUUUAAAUUUUAUCCUCAUUGCAAGAAAUUCAUUUUUAUUAAAUAUAAAUAAAUAUCUCUCUACACCUAACGGGUAAUAACUUUUUUCUUUUUAUAAUAAUUUUAGCAUUUUUCAAGUCAUUAGCACAAUAAUAUACUUCAUUUUAUCAUCUAUUGAAUAAAAAUCAAAUUUUUUUCUCUUUCCUCCUGAAUUUUAUUUUAAAUCAUUGAGGUUAAGAUUCUUUUCUUACACGUAAGUUGAAGAAAAAGUAGUGUGGAAAAAGUAACAAUUGAGAAAUGGGUUAAAAUUUUAAUUUCAUGGAUGCAUGAAUUAUGUUAAUAUAAACCUAAACUAUUCUUAUAAAAAAAAUCAGAGACCAAAUCUGAUAAAUUUUUGAAUACUUAAAGAAUUAAAAUUAGUAAGUGUAUAGUUAAGGGACUAAAAAUGAUAAAUAUAUAGUUAAGGGGUCAAAUUUAAUGACAUUUUAAAUCGUUAAAGGAUUAAAUCUGAUAAAUAUUUAAUUAAAAACAUAUUUUAGACCUACUCCAAUUAUUUAGGAACCAUUUAUGACUUUUUUUUAGUGCAUAAAGUUCUUACAGUGGUAUUUUUUAUUUAUUUUUGUUAGUGCAACCAUAGAAAAUUCCUUUUCAUGACAUUUCUAAAAAAAAAUCACUCAAAGAUCGAUGUUUUCUCGUGAAAGUGAUUUUACCUUUCUUUCUUGUUUUGUUUCUUUAACUAAAAAACUUAAAACAAAAUUGCCCCCAACUUUAUUUCAGAAGUGAACCAAAUUAUAUUGGGCGAGUCAAAGCAAAUUUAUGAGGGGCGAGAAGGGUUUAAAACACAUGAAAAUACAAUAUGGGGUAAAGUAAUUACUUAAAUGCAUGUUAUGUUGUAGUAUUACGAAUUUUAUCAAAUUUUGGUACGUCAAGAUACAUGUAUCUCGGGAUACAAGAACUCAAAAUUAGGUUAAUUUGUUCUAGAUACACUAUAUUCAAGUGGAUUUGCAUGUAUCUAGGAUAUAUAGACAAAUCUUGCGCCCUCGCUCGAUGCAUCACACGAGCCUCCCUCUCAUCUCACUCACUCUAUUAUCUCGCUCGCGUAUCUGGGAUGCAUUACACUAGAUACAUGUAUACUAGAUUUUUUGUUAGUGUUAUUGAAACAACACCAUUGUUUGCCACGUUGUUGAUAUUGGGUUUGUGUUCAGUGUACCGCUCUUUUUAUAUAUGAAAUUCCAACUUUUUUUAGCCCUUUUUCGUUUGUGCAUUCUCAUGCUUUCCGUCGGUCAACAACAACCUAAAUCUAUACUUCUUCACUACUCGUACAGGCUUGACGGAGUGAAGUUGUAUUGAGGGAAUUGUUUUGUCUCAAUCAAUCAAGUCCCAUAGAUUUCUGAUAGGAAAGAAAAAGCCCAAUUACAAAAUUAAAAAAAAAAAAUGUACACGAGCGUCCUCCUACAUUGUCUCCUAGUACAACAUACUCAAGAAAACAGUAGAACGUAUUGAUUUGACCCCAUAAGCGGGGCCAAACAUGUUACCGCCAUAAGCAAAACCCCGUAUAGAAUCUCAUAAUUGUUCCAGAGCUACUAGAAAUAGAUUCUUUAACCAAAAAGAAUUCAGUUCAGAUGGAGGAUAUCUAUACAUAAGUUUUCGACCAACUUGAACCGAUCCAUAACAUGAUUCCAUCUGUCCUGAAUGAGGGAAUUAAGGCGGGUAUAGUCGAACUGAACUGCUUGAUGAUUUGAAAAUCUUCUCACUUUCCUAAUUUUAUAGAAUUUCAAGUUUGAAAAAAAAAGAAAAGACCUAGCCCACUCCUACCCUCCAUCUUUCUAGGAUUGGGUUGGGUUGGGUUGAGCAUUUUCAGGCCCUUCCAAAUGAAGGGUCGGCCCGCCCUAGCCCAUCAAAUUUCUUGGCUCGCUAGGCUUGGGCCGACCCUUUUUGACAGCUCAGAAUGAUCAAUAGCAUUACACAAAUCACAACAGAAUAUUUUAAGAGAGAAUUAAGAGAACAUAUAAUAUAAGAUUAAAGAACCAUUUCCAAGUUGAAACAUUAAUAAAUUGGAAAUGACAUAUACCUACAUUUAUUCUCCUACGAUAAUUAAAAAAAAAACAUCUACAUCUGUUUUUCAACCGUCUCCAACCCUAGCAGAUCUAGGAUAUCAGAUCACUGAUUUACUUAUGAAAGAAUUGUAAUAUAUAUGAGAUCAAAAAAGAAAUUUGGGGUGCAACUACAAAGAAGUUGCAGCAAAAAUAUCUCAAAAAUGUGAAAAUUACAGUGUUGGUGGUGGCCUAGUAAUCAACGAAAUAUAUCUAAUAUAAGUGGGACGCUCAAAAGUAUGCUAAAUAUAUUUGAUUUGCUCUUAGCUUCGAAGGGACGAUACACUUUUGGUGAGCUCAUUGAGUGGUUUGUCCGUUGAUCGAAUCAAAUUGUACACAAACGCUCCGGCUAGGGUUCCGACGAUUGGACCAACAAUAUAUACCCAAAGACCUUUGUAAACAUGCCUCACUAGUGCUGGACCAAUACUUCUUGCUGGAUUCAUUGAUGCUCCUGAAAUUGGCCUGCAUUUUUAAUUUGAUUAGAUUUUUGCCAAAGAAAGGUUAAUUUUUUAAUUUUUUUAAUUGAGUAAAACAGUUAAUAAUUAGCAUACCCUGCUACAAAAACGUUCAAGGUUAUGGUCAUUCCCACAGCUAUCCCAGAUACAUGUCCAAUCUGCAAGAGUAACACAUAGUAUAAAUUAAACAAUCAAUGCAGUUAACUUGAUAUAAGUAUUAAUGACUGAUUUUACAUAUAAUCUAUAGCAUACCGCUCGUUCAUCUGUACCAACGCCUGAAAUGACGAACAUAAGAAGGAAAGAAAUGAUGAUUUCGGCAGCAAGUGAUUGGACAUUAGAUCCAGUUGGAACUGUACCAAAAUAAGCUUGAGGAGUUACAUCAAACAUUAGAGACAGAGUUCCACUAGCCAGAGUCGAGCCCAUUAGUUGAGCUAUUAUGUACAAAGGUACCUGCAACACAUUCAAUUAUAUUUUAGCGAUAACAAUUAAUUUGAUUAUUAUAUACUGUCGAUGCACAAAAUAAAAUUUAAGUUACAUACUUCUUUCCAAGGGAAGCGACCGAAGACGCUGAAAGUAAUAGUGACAGCUGGAUUAAAAUGUGCUCCUGAUAUAUGUCCAACAGUGUAAGCCAUGACCAUAACAAUAAGUCCCCAUGUUACACAUAUCCCUGGAAACGUAACGGUCCCACCAUAAAGCUUGUUCACUACAACUGAACCACACCCCGCAAAUAUAACAAAAUACGUCCCUAUGACCUCCGCAAUCAACUGCAAAAAUUAGCUCAUCAUGAUCCAACUCAUCAAAUAAAUCUACGAUUAAUAAAACUACUCGAUACUGGAGCAUUACAAAUUAUUUAAGUACCUUUUGACCGAGGACAACGACGGCAGGCGAUGAACAAAAUCCAACCUUGUUAUUGGAGGCUACUUGGACAUUACCUUCUUCCAUAUUCUGAGUGAUUUGAUCUUCUUUAUUUGACACCAUUGUUGUUUUUUCAAUUUAAUUAAAAAGGGAAUAAGAUAGUUAUUAUUAUUAUUAUAUAGUUAUAUGAUAGUAUAGGAUAGGAUUAGAGACUUUGUUUUUGUAUGGUUUGCUGCUAAGUUGAUAAUGAUUAUGGUAAUUGAUAGAGUGUUGGAGGCUGGAGUUUAUUAAGAAAAUUGUACUAAUUAAUUAGAUAUAAUAGGGGAUUGGAGUUUUACUAUAGAUUAAUAUUGAAACUCCAUCCAACACUAUUUAUCUAUCUAUAAUUAAGAGUCCUCCUCCACUCAAGUCGCUUCUCUUUUGCAAACCUUAAUAAAAAAUGAUAGAAAGAGUAAAAAGAUAUACUUGUAUUCUUACGGUUUAUUAGGAUCGUACGUAUGUGAAGAAAGUUUGAAUCAGUAUUUAUCUCAUUUUCCGUGAAUAUCUCAAAUUAGUUCAUUUACUUUUUCUUAUUCACGUUUUAAGAUAAUAAGGAAGAGAUAUAUUAUUUACCUUCUCAAAACUAAUUAAUGGGGAUGAUUUGUAUAUCUAUAUAUAAAAAACUUUUAUCACGUUAAUUAAUUAUACAAUAUACGUUGUCAACUUAUUUAAUCGCUUAUUGAUGGUAAUUUAAUAUAAUUUGGUCCAGUCUCCUUUAUGGGAGAAUUGAUCGUUUAGGAUGCCUUAAAUAAAGGUUGAAACUAGAAAGAUAUCACCUUCACGUGGCUGGCUAAUCGCAAUCCACAAGUGAAUCAGUCGCCUUUUUUAGGUUUUUAUUUUAUUGACCUAUCCCACUCCACCAAUUAAAUCUGUAACAUAGUAAGUGAAUUAAAUUGGUUAAAUUACUUUUUGAGUUUGAAUUAUUUUUUAAUUAUAAAAUAAAAUUUAGUGAUUUUAUAUGGGAUUAAUCUAAUUAAGUUAAAUGAUUUUUUAAGUGAAUAAUUUAAAGUUGAGUAAUCAUAUGAGAUAUUAACUCGAAUUAUUUGAUGGAAAAUUAAACCCUUACCAAUAAAAUAAAGUAAAAGUUCACGUAUCCGAGCAAUAAACAACUUUAUGCAUAAUUUCUCAAAGUCAACAUUUCCCUUUCCUCAUAAAAAGGCACAAGUUUGGAGAAGGCCCCAAGGCUUCUCUAAUUUCCAAAUUAAAAUAAUAAGAUGCCUCUUCCAUAUACAUAAGAAUUAUGAUUUUCUUGGUUCUAAUUAUUUUGUCAACAUCCACUGUUGACGAUAGUUUUUGAGCUCUCAACGGCUCAAUGUUUGCUUGUAUGACUGUGAUUAUUUUUUUUAUGAAAGAAACGGCAAAAAAGAAAUAUUUUUUUCUGAUGUACACGAGUGUGUGAGCAAUUUUGUUUGCUAAUUGGAUUUUGAGGCAAAUGAAGCAAACAUAUUUGUCAUCUCUCUCUCAUUCUUUGACACGUUUCAAGUCACUCAUAGUAUAUUAUAUGUCUUGUUAUGAAACUUGCAAACAGACAAAUGCUAGCCAAAAAAAAACAAAAUGAAAUUAACCGCUAAAAUUUCAUAAAUAUUAAAGGCAGGCUAUGUUUAAAAAAAAACACUUGGACUUUUGGACUGUGGUUCCAUCAAAGUCCCAACAAACUACCUCAUUCCCCACUACACAAAUUAGGUAACAAAGUUAGUGUUUGGUAGAAUUUAGUUGUCUAAUACUCAUCAAAUCAUACUUGUUAGUAAAGAAGUAACACCUGUAAAUUGUUUAUAAACUCCAAGCAGAUAUUGACACAAAGCCAAACAAGCUUCAUUUAUAAUAUACUUAAUAUAAACUGUCACCAUCUAAUUAAAGCUAACACAGGAGGUUGAAAUAAAGAAAGCAAUAGAAAUUUGAAUUACAAACAAUUUGAUCAUCAAUAUGUAAGAUUGGAUGUCACAGAGCCCUGUGUUCCUUAGAUAUACAUGAUGCUCAAUAUAGUUACUCUAAAAUAAGCUAAACAAGAAUCACAUCAAAGUCUAAAAAUCUGAAAAUAGCUAAGACAACAUCUAAAAUCACGUUAUAUAGAAAAGUAAACUUCCUGUACAGAAUUGUGGUUUCAAGCAUAUCGCUCUAACGCAUAAUUACAAUCACGAAAACCAUGGUUCAAGAAGGAAGCUUCAACUAGCUGUAUAAACUGCGUGGUUGUAAUUUAUGUUUACAAAGGGCAAGUUCAUAAACUAUACUUCUAAGACCUUAUAUAAUUUUCCGAAUUAUUGACCACUAAACAGUCACCUGGCACCUAUCUAAUAGCCCGGACUGCCAAUUUUCAGUAUCUAUCCAGCUUUUCCAAGAACAGAGAGCCAAUCUCACACAAGCCCCUGUUUCAAAAGGAAAAGGGAUACAGGAAGGAAACAAACAAAGGGAAAAAUCUAUCAUUUCGAAGUAAUUUUGGAGAUACAACUAGGAACAGACAGAUCGGCUGGAGUGCAUACCAGCGCCCUUUGUUGUAAAUGUCUCAAACUUUGUUCCAUGCUAACUUGUACCAUCUCAGCGAGCAUCUCCUUUGCUUUUCCUGAUUGCUCCUCACAAUCUAUCUGAGAUAUGAGAUUGGACACAAUGUUCUCUAAUGUGUCAGGCUCAAGCUCAGACCUCGGGUAAGGAGUGUCUCUCAGCAACCUCAAAAGUGUUUGUGCUUUAGUCCGAGACUUGACUGUUCCUUGAACAGUCAGCUCAAGGAGGCCAGGAAUCACACCUUCUCUGAGAAUUGGUUCUCGGUAUUUAGCACGGUCACUCUGACACAUCGUCAGGAGAGCUCCUACAGCAUGUUCUCGGCUUUGAGCAGAUCCACUUUCAAGCACUUCUACCACUGCAAGUACUCCCCCAUCUUCAGAUAUCAAUGAAUUCCUACCCUCUUCAUAACACAUCAAAGAUUCUAUAAGAGCAGUGCAUCUUUCAGUAGUUUUUGAAGACUUUUUACAGGAUUUAAGCAGAGAAACAGUAGAAGGAAUUGGUUGUGCCCGCAGAAUCAAUAGUAGAUUGUCUUGAUAAGUUGACAGGUUGGAAAGAGCCAUCACGGCAUCGGCCUUGGCUUGUGAACUACCGUGCCUAAUGAUUUCCACUAGCAGAGAGAAAACACCAGAAGCACUAAUUAUGGGUUUAGUGGCAGGAGAAGCAGAUAAUGUGAGCAAAGCGGCAGUAGCAUGAUCCUGGAGAAUUGCAUUCUCUGAUUGAAGAAAGCUAAUGAUGGGUUCCAGAGCACCAGCAUCUAUGAUAUUUAUCUUGUUUCUGUAGGUGAAAAAUGAAAUGAAAUAGUCAAACAACUAAGUUUGAAGCUCCAAAGAUAAAUACUUACACUACAAUACUGUUUGAAGUUGGCAAAUUCACAUUUCGAUAUUUUGUUAGCUUAGAUCGCAGAAAUGGUAACUAUACUUUCCUAUCUGAUGAAAAACAAGCAGUCCAGCAGUAACAUAAACGAAGACAUCUGGCUCUCAUUUCAUUAGGUUUAUAUAGUUUUUUCCAACUGAUUUCCUCUUUAUAUUAAAAUGUAGUUCUUUUCAAAUUAAAAUGAUAUUAUAAUGGAUUAGAGUAGCCAAAUUAUGAAAAACAAUAAUCAGACUUUAGCUUCGAUGUAUAGAAGUCCUUAAUAACUAGGACGGUCUACGGAUUCUGUCACACAAGUCUACUCAUAAGGAAUUAAUGGAAGCUAGAAGGAGUGCACAGUUAGAAUUGGAGAUACAGAGCAGGAAGCAAUGUAAAGGAGGAAAGGACUUGAAAUUUUAUCUUGACACACAAAAAGGAAAGAAUCUUAAACAUGGUCAUGACUAAGAAUUGAAAUGUCAAAAUAGGGUAUAUUCCCCGCAAGAAUUGGAACAAUGAACAAAUACGAGUAAGAGCGAUAAACAGUACAAAGCAAUCACCGAAAUCUAACAUAGUUUACAGCAUACCAAAGUAGUGAGUCUAAUAUACAAGGGUCAUUCCAUUUUAAAAUUAAAAUUUGAUAUUCCCCAUAGAGGAUUAUGGAAAGAGUAAUCCCUUUGAGUGAUCUGCAAAACUAAUAUUGCUAUUAAAAUAUCAACAACCCUCGUACAAUUGAAUAUUUUAAUCAAGAGUAGAAUUUCUAUAUCAGAGAAAGGAAUCCAAUCCAUGUGAUGGCUUCAUAAACAAGAUAAAAAGAAAGGUAAAAGUGAGACAAGCAGAUGAGGUAAAGAAUUUAAAAGAAAGCAGCAUGUGGAUAAAAGAACAGCCCCACCUGCAAAUUUAAGCAAGCUGAUACUUAAAGCAUCCCGAUCGAAAAGCAUUUUGAAUAGAUAUGCCUCUUAACUUUUACUAACUUUAAUAAAUCUUCAAAUAGAGGGCAACAACAGUAGUAUAAUCUUUUAAUGAACCAAUCAAAAGUUGAAACUACUACAGUUACUCUCAAUGUUCAGGCAAUUCUUAUCCUUGCGCAUUUUGAUGCUUCAAGAAUCGGAUUUCAGUUUGAUCCUCAUUCCAUAACAAAAACAAAACAAAGGGGAAUCUCAAUGAAGCCCCACAAGAAAACAAGCACUUAAAAGAAGAACAAAUUUCAAUCUUAAUCACUGAAAGUGGAAUUUCUUUAAAUACAAUAAAGAUCAAUUCUAACGUCACACAUAUUUCCACAAUCUGAAAUUAAAAAAUAGGACCAUCUCUUACUUUUCCCAGCAACCAAACCAAACAGAGAAGGGAAAAAGAACACAGUAAACUUAACGAAAAAGGCAAAACACAAGAAAAGUAUCAACUUCCCUCACUAACACACUGAUUCCGAGGAAAAGUAGAAACCAAAAGCAAGAAAGUGACGGAAAACUGAAAAUAAAAAAACUCACAAACCCAAAAUUGGAAUCAGAAUUAAGCCAACAAAAUUAAACAUACCCUUCGUCUUUUACAGCGAGAUUAAGGAGUGCAAGAAGAGCAGCUUCAUUAGAUUCAAAAGAUUCCGAACGAAGCAUAUCAACGAGAGGUUUAACGGCGUUAGAAAAAUGACGGCGGUAACGUUGAGAAGUCUUAGUUAAACGGCGGAUCUCCUUAGCCGCCUGUACUUUCAAAGUGGGGUCAUCAGAAUGAAUAAGAAAAAGGGUUUGUUGGACUGCGGAGGACGUCGCCGUUCGCCGAAUAUCUCCGUCGGAAAAGCUGUCGGCGGCACUGACCAGACUGUUCAAGUGCACAGAAUUCUCGCCCUCCGAGUCCAUAAUUUGUUGGGAGUGAAUUAUUGAGAGCACUACAGAGUUAUUGUGUUAAAUGGAGAAGAGAAAAAUAAAUAUCUGAGCUGAGCUGAGCUUAUUCAAAGCUCAGAGGAAGAGAGCAUAUAGAAAAUGGUUUAAAGGAAAGAGACAAUUUAGUUAAUGUAAUAUAGAUGUAAGGUAGUUGCAGUAAACAUAUUUUAUUUUAUUUUAGUUUUGAGAAAGAAAAGAGAAAAAAAGAAACGUAAGGUUGAGAUUUUUAAAGCAAGUAAAGGGGGUGCCGUGGCGUUAAGCAACAGUUAUAAGAACCCACCACCAAAGGUUAUAUUAGGAAAAUUAUAUGAAAUAAUUGUUUUUAAUGAUACUAAUAAUACUUGUAAAUAUGUGUCAUGUAUUUAUUAAUUUAAUAAAAAGAUUGAAAAUAUGUAAAUAGUUAUCAUAAAGUAAUUCAUUGUAUUUAAAUUAAGCAACUAAUCACUUUAAAAUUGAAAGUUUAUUUAGUUAUCGAUAUAUUAUUUUUUUCACUGAAUAUUGAAUAUCGGAUGAGAAAUAUAAAAAAGAAUUCGCACCCUACUUGUGGCUGUGGGGACUGAGUGGUUUUUUAUUUUUUUGUUUUCAACGGCUUUUGGUAGUUGUUUGGUCUUUGGUAUUCCUUAUACCAUAUGUUCGGUUAUUAGGAGAGAGCUUUUGACAACUUUUGGAUAACGUGGAUUGAUUUAUUUUAAGUAUUUUAAAAUUAAAAAAAAUAAGAAAAUUUAAAAUAAUAUAAAAUAUUUUUGGGCAAAUUAUAGAAAUCACAUACUUUUAAGGUAAAAUUACAAUUUAUUUCUUAAAAGUUUAUAGUUACAGAAAUUCCUCAUUUUCGCGCAUCAGAUUAGUGUAUCAACGCUUAUAUUAUUGUAUCUCGCGCAUGUAUCAACACUUAUAUAGCUCUGAUACACUAAUCUGAUGCGCGAGAUACAAUAAUAUAAGCGUUGAUACANNNNNNNNNNNNNNNNNNNNNNNNNNNNNNNNNNNNNNNNNNNNNNGAUUAAUGUAUCUCGCGCAUCAGAUUAAUGUAUCAGCGCUUAUAUUAUUGUAUCUCGCGCAUCAGAUUAGUGUAUCAGAGCUAUAUAAGUGUUGAUACAUGCGCGAGAUACAAUAAUAUAAGCGCUGAUACAUUAAUCUGAAGCGCGAAAAUGAGGGAUUUUGGAGAUUUGUAAAACUUAUAGGGGAUAAUGGUAAUAAGUAAACUAAAAUGUGAGAUUUCUGUAAUUUUUCCAAUUUUUUUAGGUAUUUAUUUUAAUCCAAAAAAUAAAGUAAAUUGGAAUUCCUAAGUUGAGAAAAAGUUCUAAGCUCAUCCAAUUAAGCUCUUAAUCUUAUCCAUACGAAGGAAAAAAUUACUUAUACGGCUCCACUUUUUUUUUUCUUCCUUGCAAUAAUUUGGGCAGAGAAAUUUUAUUGUUACCGUUCAUUUUUGCAUCACAUAUGACCAAAAAAAAAAGGACGUUGUCCACGCUCCCAUUUUAAAUUAAAAUAUGCUGUAUAUGUUUGAAUUUGAACUUUUAUUUAUCAAUUUUUUACUGUCAUAUUUAUUUACAUGCCCGUUUUCUUAAUGAAAAAAGAUUUAAAAAAUGAUUUUGAUCGAUUCUUUUGAAUUUUUUUUGUAAGAUUCUUUAUAAUGAGUUAAAAAAAUAGUACAUAUAGUCUCAUCGUGAUCCAAGACAUUUUUGUUAAAUAAUUUAGAAGGAUUGUUGGACAUUUUUAGAAACAAAUGUCAAAUUGUUAAAUUCAAACUUUAGGAUCAUAUACACUUUUACAAUAUCUUUUUUAUGGAUCUCACUUACAUGUAUUAAAAAGCUUAGUCCUAAUUUAUUUUAUCACAACCGACAAAAAUUAGACGUAGUAGUCAUAUAGAAAUUAUUUUCACUUUUUCAAUAAUAGACGUUAGUUUAGUCAUAUAUAGAAAUGAUUAUUAUCAUUUGUUCUAAUUGCUUGUGCACCAGAUGAACUCUUUGAUGGACCUUGUUUAAGUCAUUAGAAAGCACAAAACAAGCAAACAAACAGCAAAAAGUAAAUAAUUGUGACAUUUAUAGUGCGUCUGAUAUCAUAGUAACAUUCCAAGAUAGCCAUAAGCCAUAUACUCCCUCCAAUUCAUUUUGAUCAUCGCGCUUAUUAAAAAUAACUGAUAUUAAAAAGUUAAAAUAUAAUUGUAGACAUUGAAAUUUUGUGGGACUCUACAAGGCGUGUUCAAUUCGAAUUGAGACUCUAGACAGUGUGUUCAGUUUCAAUUAUAAUUUUUGAAGGUUACUCAACCCUAAACCCUAGUUCAUGCCUAUAUAAAGGGUACUAAAUUCCCUUAAAAGGCAUAUCGAAUAUUCCACAAAAGUCAUGAAAUAUUCAUAUAGAGGUCAAAUCUAAAUCAUCCUAGUUCGAGAAAUACGUCACAAACGGCCCUCAAAUCAUGGAUAAAUCUCAGGAGAGUAGAAUCAAUGGAGGAACGUAAUUGUACUGAAUAAAAUUAUGUUUCUUCAUUAUUUUUUGUUAUUGCAAUUUAUAUUUUGUCACUUUAAAAUUUGUUGCAAACAAUAAUUAAUUAAUAAUUUUUACUUUUACCUUUAGUAACGAGAGAUUAAUAUAGUAGUACUUGAUAAUUUGAGAUAAAAAAACAAAUAUGAAUAUAAAAUUAUAAAAAAUUGCUUAUUUAAUAAAGUAAAAUUUAAUUAAUUUAUAAAUAAUUAGUGAUAUGUUAUAAUCCGUAAUUAAACUGUUAUAAGCAAGAAUUUUUUAAAAGUAGAUUUAAAACUUGUAAUAUUGACUCUUAAAUGUGUAUAUGGGGUAAUUUUUCCAUAAUUUAGUCAUUUUUUUAGUUAAUACUUUUUUAAGAAGUAAAAAACAUGAGGAGCAUAAUAGAUUGGAUGAAAUGUAAUUAUUUUUAGUAUGAAUAACUUUUCCGACCAUUAAAGCCGACUUGGUUUUAUUGGCCGGCGGCAAUUGCCGACGUCGGGGGCUAAGAGAGGUAGGGUCCAUAAUAGCUACUAAUAUAUAGACUUGUGGAUCAAAAUUAAGAUACCCUUAAAUAAUGGCAAAUACUUUUCGUCGGUUUAAUAAGUUUUCAUAUUAAUUUUAUAAUGCUUUGGAUCUUUUUUUUUCAUACCCACUUAUUAUUUAAACAGAAAAGGGUAAUUUCAUAUUUUAAAAAAUUACUUUAUUUUAUAUAUAAUUAAACUAAUAUAACGAAUUCCAAAAUAUAAAAGAAGACCCCAAUGGAUCGUUAAUAAUUUUUCAAUUUGGUGUGCAUUGCUUAAUUAAAACGUUAUUGCAGCCGUUUGACUAAAUUAGGCUCCUAGUGCUAACUUUUCUUUGCCUAUCCAUUCAACAGUUUUAGAUUCCCUUUAGUUAGUCAUUAUAUUUUCUCCACAUAUGAAUUUAUAAUUUAUUUGGUCCACUAAAGUUAUGAGUACUUUUCAAUUUUCUUAAUACAAUCUAACAAUUAUUAUAUUCAAUAAAAGUGAAUUGAUAUUUAUUUUCAUUAGCGAUUUAUAUGAUCUUCCCAAUAUAUUCUACACUAUUUCUCAAAUAACAAUAUCUUUUUUCAUAAAAAAAAGUAACAAUAUUUAAUGCAAAUCUCACUUUUAAAAAAAAUAAUGAGUGUACAUAUCUGAAUUUAAGUAAAGAAAUUUACCGCCUUAAAAAUCUUGACGGCGAGCAGACAUUAUUUAGUUUUGCUACAUAAAUGGGCAACAAAAAAAAAAUUAAGCUUAAACAAACAACGCACAAUUGUUCUUGAAAUUAAUUAUUUUUCUAAACGAUGUGUAGAACUAUAAUUAAAUUAUGGAAAAAUCUUUUUGGCCAGAAAAUUUGGCCAGAAUGAUAAAAUAACAUAUUUCACACUAUUUUAUUUUACUUUUUUGAAUAUUUUUAUCCUUUUAAUUUUAAUACAUUUUAAUUAAAAAUAGAAAAAAACUCAAUUUAUUUUAAAAUUAAAAAAAUAUUAUAGAUUUUUUAAUUUUCUGACCAAAUUUCUAGCGAAAUGCUAUACUCCACUUAUUUGCAUGGCCCAAAAUGAUGUAGUAUGAAUUCUAGGGGGAUUAAGCAUUAGUAGGUCCUUUAAUUUGACUUUUUUUUAAUCAGCCAUUUAAUGUGUUUCAAGUGAUUGAAUUCAUAUUAUUAAUAGUAUGAGUAGACCCUUAGUCAUGAUUAUUACUCCCUCGAUCGGUAGGGAUGUGUAAUAUGGUAGCUAUCGAAAUUAUUUUUUCGAUAUAGCAAUUUAUAGAUUAUGUAUUUAAUAUAUACUAGUUUUUUGACACUUGUGUUGCACGUGAUUAUCAAUUCUAAAAAUAUAUGUUAUAUUAAAUAGUAUUGCUUAUUUAAGCAAAAAUUUGAAUAAUAAACUUAGCAAAAAAUAAUAUUGCAAAUUCUUUUGUGAAUGUUCAAUAUAGAUCGUCAUAUAUAUAUAUCUUAUUCACGCAAACCUAUGAAGAUGGUCAAUGAAAAUUUUUAUUAGUUAAAUGCAAUAAUGUACAUAUUUAUUUCAAUUUAAUGAUGUUCAAUCAUGUAGUUAGUCUUAUCUCACUAAUAUUACCUUAUAGACAUUAUUUUUUUUGUAUUUUUCUUGUCAUCUAACCAGAUGUGUUUUGCAUGUGUAUUCCACGGUUAAACUGCUUAGAUGUCAUAUGAACACGUGAAAAAAACUACUACAUUUUAUAUAUUCACAUAUUUUCACAUUUGUUGUGAAAUUUUUUUAAAAAAAAAAUGAACUCGAAACAUUUUAAAAUAAUAUAUUUUGAAGUUAGAAGAUCUUGUUAACUUGAUAAUACAUUUGUGACAUAUAUAAUACUUUAAUUUAAAUACAAAUACCUACCCAAAUAUAAAUAUAUAUUUACAUUAAUGAAAACAUUUAUCUCAUAAAAUUAGCUAUUAAAUAAAUAAUAAAACUUAAACUAAUACAACCUUCAAUUGACGUUAUUACAAGUGAUAUGAACUUUUCUUCGUCCAAAAUACUGAAAUAUUAAGAAAUAGUAAAUAAGUAAAAUAAAAGGGUGAUGUUUAUAUUGUAAUAAUUAUUUUGAAGCAAACUUUUUGAGAGUCUAAAUCACAUAAGUAACAUUGAUAAAUAAAGUCAUUCUUUUGUUUUGAGCAUCAAAAAUAAAUUGUGACAAUUCUCUAAAUUUUGGAAAAGAUAUUUAGAAGCAUAUAUCUAUAUCACAAGAGAAAUUGUUAAAAAAAAAACGAAUGAAUUUAGACUACAUCGUGCUAACUUUGUAUAUUGGAACAUUACAUACUAAUGUAUAUAUUAAGCAAAAAAAUAAUUAUUAUAUCAUCAAAAUUAUUUUCCUCAAGUACUCGAGGUUAUGGAAUAUACCCUCUUAGGAUAGAACGACUUACUUCAUUAGAAUAGUGUACCUCAUAUUCCGCUAAACUUCGAACCCACUCAACGAUAAUAAAUCACACAAAAUGCAAGAAGAAGAGUAGAAGAUUAAAAAAUAUUAUGGUGGAUAAUUGAGAGGAAACCCCUCUAUUUAUAGUCAACAAAGGGUAGUAUGAACAAAUAUUUUUUGUGUCUUAUUUGAAAAGUCAUGACUAUACCGAGAAGUCACAACCAUUUGGAAAAGUCACAACUUAUUAAAAAAGUCAUAACUUUUUGGAAAAGUCACAACUUAUUGAAAAAGUUACAACUCAUCGAAAAAUGACAACCCUUUGAAAAAAUCACAACUCAUCGAAAAAUGACAACCCUUUGAAAAAAUCACAACUCAUCGAAAAAUGACAACCCUUUGAAAAAAUCACAACUCAUCGAAAAAUGACAACCCUUUGAAAAAAUCACAACUCAUCGAAAAAUGACAACCCUUUGAAAAAAGUCACAACCUAAGUUAGGGAUAUUAUAGUAAUUUAACAUUCAAGUUAGGAGUUCAUGCUUUUAAGGUAAUAUAGAUAUAGAUUUUAACAUUUUUUUAUAUGAUACUCGGUAUUUAUAAAUUUUUUUUUACAAAACAUCAUAUUAAAGUGUAUAGUUAUGCUAGUUAUCUUGGGGUUAAAAAAGAAAGUGUAUAUUUAUGUAUACUAUUCAUAUAUUUAUAAUACUAACAAAAAUAUAAACUAAAUUUCAUACAAAACUAAUUAUAUAGAUAUUGAAACUUUUUUACCACUUAAUGUUGAUUGAAAUGUCUUUUUUUUUUUUGCGCGUAUAAUUGAUUUAAGAAAAUUGUUUGCAUUUUUUUUUAGAUGUAUAAGGUAUUAAUAUGAUAUAAUUAAGAUAUUUUUCGAAAUUUUAGUGUCAUAUUUUUUUGUAAAUGAGUAUAUAUAAGUCGAAAUUGAAUACCAAAUCAAACUUUACAAUACCAAAUCUGAACCCAUUGAAAAUUAGAAAAGAAGUAUUAUAAAUUAUAAGUUUAUUGACCGUUAUCGGUUAUUAUUAAAUCAUCAUACAAAAUUAAUUUAAUAUUAAUAAUCUUAUACUAAUAUUUUUACAAAUCAACAUUAUUAAACCGAAAUUGUCAAUUUCGCAUCGUAUCAAUAUUUCAUACAUACCCCCCUACUCCGUGUCAAAUUAUGACUUCUAAAAAUAAUUAUACUUUCAUUUUAGAAAAGUUCGAGAUAAAUAUGAUUUAACUUUUUAUAAAGUAGAUGAUAUUUAAGUAAUUAAACUUUAUAUGGUUAUUGGUGGGAUUUGGGAAGUACAUAAGUUGAAAAGUCAAUCUUAAUUUGCCACGUGUUUGUGGUGUAUUCGUAGAGUACACGUUUUGUAUAAGGCAUCUAAACCUAAAAAUUUAUGCACCCAUGUAAUUAUGUAAAAGUAAAAAAUAGAAAAAAAAAAUAGUAGUAGUAUUAUUACUAUUAUAUUCCUUUCUUGGGUUUCAAGUGAUUAUUCAUUAAGCUAAGUUUCUAUCUGCUAUAUAAAAAGUGUGUAAAACAUGAUAAAUAUAUUAUAAUAUUAAUACUCCCGACAACUUUUUCACUCUCAAUAUGAUGUUUUUCACGUUCUUUCUUAUCUUAAUUCUUUUUUAAGUGAUCUUAAUUACUUAUUACUUAAUUUAUAUUUUGGACGGAAAGAUAAAGUUGUAAGAGUAUAUUGACCCCUUUCAUUAUGAGUUUUAUUUUUCUAAUUAAGUUUCCAUCAUCAGGAUUCAUCUAAAAGUUUUAUGAUUGAUUUUUAUUUCAAAUCGAAUUUUCCAAAUCUUGAACCAAACAAAUGAAAAUUCAUCCACCUACCCUCCAACAUCUGUUUUAAAAAAUUAAGACUAAAUUAAAAUGUUUCUGAAGCAAAGAAACGAUUCAGUGGUAAUUAGCAAUACAAGGGGAAGUUAAUUAUACUAUGUGGGAUAUUAAUUUAAACAUGAUAAUAAAUAAUAAUAAGAACUUCUUUGGCAUUUAUAUCUAGUUUUGUGCUUAGUUGAUUUAUCGUUUAAAAAUUAAAAAUAUUUAAUUAUACGGACGUUAAUCAGUACAAAUAUUCUUGGAUGUAACUAGAUUAAUUAAAUAAUUUGGGUGGUUAAAUUGUAUAUUAUUACCGUGUAUUUUUUACUUUUAAUUUAAUUUACAACUUUUAAGAUUAAUAAGUUGUGUUGGAUUGACAUAAACACCAAGUAUGAGUAUUAAUUUCCUAAUUUUUUUCACUCGUAUUUUAAAAUAUAUAUAUAUAUAUAUAUAUAUAUAUUUCUAAUUCUAAUAAUUAUUGUGAAACAAAAUCAAAAUAAGGAGGACAUAGAGAUCAAAAUAUAUUCCUGAAACUACACGUGUAUGAUAACUAUAUAAUUUCGAUUUGAACAAAAUCCUGAGAGAAUUCAAAUAUUCACAAAAUCAAAUGUAAUAUAUUCGAUCAACUUGGUUUUCUGUAUAAAGUAUGUAAAAAAAUAUAUAGAAAUGUUUGCUACAGUACAUAUAACUUAAAUGAUUGGUGGAUAUAAAUCAAUAUCAUUAAAAAUGGUUGAUAGUACGUUCAUUUUUCAAAUGUGGGAUCCUAAUCUUCGACAUGAUAUUUAUUUGAGCAAUUAAAUCAAAGGGUUGAUUAAUGGUCGUUAUCAUCAGAUUAAGACUAGACAUAUUCCAUUAAGGAGACCAAUUGCCCUACUUCACGUUGUAAUUUGUCAAUCAAAUUUGAACAUGAAUAAUACUACUAUUAAUUGUCUCUCUAAUUCUUCCAAAAUUACACGAAGCUUGCCGGUUUAUUGCUUUCAAAAUAAUAAUUAUUUUUAUCACUAUUAUUGUAUAUGACGAUUUUUAACUUGACACAAAAUUUAAGGAAAAAAAAACAGACUUUAGACAUAUGAGUUAAAUAAUAUGUUUAUAAUACAUACCAAUUGUUAAAUAUUAUGUUUUAAAACCAAUUAAAAACAUAUUAAAUAGUGAAUUAUCUAAUAUAAGAAUAUAGUAUGUCAUUUUUUUUUAAAAAUAAACUAAAUUAAAAAAAGUUUCGUAUUAAAUGGAAUAUUGUACUAUGCUUUGAUGCUUAAUGGUCAAUGGUGCUACUUGAAAAUUAUUUGGGCAAAGUAAUUAACAUGGACUGUGAUAUACUUCUACAAGCUAAGAGGCAUCCAUAAGGCCCAAUAACUGUGUAGCCCAUUUGGUUUCAAGGAGAAAAUGAAAAUAAAUAAUUUUGAUUUCCUUUUUGUUUUUUUUGGAGGGGGGGGGGGGGGGGGGGGGGGGGGGGGGGGGGGGGGGGGGGGGGGGGGGGGGGGGGGGGGGGGGGGGGGGGGGGGGGGGGGGGGGGGGGGGGGGGGGGGGGGGGGGGGGGGGGGGGGGGGGGGGGGGGGGGGGGGGGGGGGGGGGGGGGGGGGGGGGGGGGGGGGGGGGGGGGGGGGGGGGGGGGGGGGGGGGGGGGGGGGGGGGGGGGGGGGGGGGGGGGGGGGGGGGGGGGGGGGGGGGGGGGGGGGGGGGGGGGGGGGGGGGGGAAUCGUUGUGGCAUAAGAAUAUGAUGCAAUUGAGAGAUUACAAAGAAAAAAACUCAUCAUGAGUAAGUUUAAUUGAUAGAGGUCAAGGGAUUUGCAAUUUAGGUCAUAGGUUUUAGCCCUACGCUAAAGCUAGCUCAAACAAAGAGGUUUGUCAAAGGUUUAUAAAGAGAUCAUUCAUCUCUUUAAUUAUCAAUGUGGAACUUUUUACAUUAUUUUUGAGUUAUAUAUAUAUACUGCAAUUGGUCCAAAAGAUAAAUUUUAGACUGAUUAAUUUUGAUAGUAAAAAAGAAGAAGAAAGAGAAACGGGGAUUUAUCGAGAGAGAUUUCCAUAUAGCUAUGUAUAUUAUUGUUUUAGUAUAAUAAAGGUGAGUCAAGUGUAGGAAUAGUUGAAUAGAAUAUAUAUUAUUAAGAGAUUCAUAUAUUCAACAAGUUAGCUAGUGAUAUAUUAUAGUAUAACAUGUAUAAGUGGAUGUCAACGCAAAUGCAUUAUGCAUUCCCAUCAUGACUCACUUGAAAGACAACUUAGCUAACAGGGUAUGGUGAAGUAUAUGCCUUUUCCAACUUCAUUUACUACGUAUAUAAAAUCCACACACACAUGGGUGUGCUUGGUACGAAGGAAAACAUUUUCAGUAUAAUAUUUUCUAUUUACCAAUCAAAUAUGAAAAAAUAAGUUAAAAAUCUACUUGUUUUUCAGGAAACAUUUUCUUCAUAUCAAACACACCCAUGAUGUUGUUUUUGGCUGUGCCAAAUUUUUUACUGAGUGAUAUUAAUUGAACAUAUAUUAUAUAUACAUAAAAUGUAAUUUUAACAUUAUAUAUACAAUAUAAUUUUCCGCCUUGACCCGACUGCUAUUCAUGAUGUGUAUUGGACAUGAAUUUAUUCCAACUUCCUCCAAUUACGGGAUAUGUACUAAAGAUCAUGCAUGCAACUUAUUUUUGUCUUUAGCUCUUCAACACUCUCUCUCUCUCUUGUCCUUCGUUUUAUUAAUAUAUUAGUUAAAUUGUCCGUGCUUUGCAAUAUUAGAAAAUUAAGUAAGAGUAACAUUUGUUAAUAGGUUGAAUAAUUGCAAAGAUCAUAUUAUAAAAUUUUAUUUAAUUACGAUAAAUAACUUUAACAUUUACUUCCAAUGAACAAAAACUCUAAACUGAACCUACAUUACGUACUGAAUUCAGUCGUUUAAUUAGUUGCCCAUACCAAUCUGUUCCCAACUUGAACAUAUGCAAUUAAUAGAUCCCUAAUAUGUCCAAAAUAAUUCCAAUUAAAUAAUGUUGUCUUGCCUCCUCUCUCUUUUUGAUAGUAGUAGUAUUUUAUUUCAUCAACAAUUAAUUCCUCCAAUAUAAUGAUUAAUGAGAACGUACUUACAUAUUUAGUUUAAAUUCAACCGAUCUUGCACGUGUAGAUACUAAUAUAUUAUUCUGAUUGGGUCCUCCUAUAUACAAUAAUUAUAUUAAUUAAUUAGAAGAAAUAGUGAUAUACUCUUUCCAUCUUAUUUUAAUUAGUUACUAACGUACUAAAAAUAUCCGUUCCAAAUUACUUGUUGAUUUAUAAGAUUAAGGCAUAAUUAAUUAAUGUUUUUUUCUUCAUUUUAUCCUUAAUUAAUUAUUUUUGAAAGUAUAUAAUAUCGAUUACAUUGAAAAGAGUUAAAGGACAAUUAAAUUGAUUAAAAGUACUUUUUAUUUAUGAUUUUUUAAAAGGCGUAUAAAAGAGAAAUGUGACAACUAGUUAACAUGAGACGAAUGGUGUAUAUAUUAACGAAAACAAAAUAUUUAAUUAAAAAAGAAUUAAUCCUGAUCUGGCAUUCUCUAAUGAUGAGGGAGAGGGACAACGAAAGUACAAUCUCACUCAUGUGCUUUAACAUGCUUAACAGCUACUCUUAAUCACAAAUUAUCCCUCACAAAUUACCUAUAAUUAUCAGUGUGGAAGGAUUAGUGAAUAUAUUAAUUAAGGAUAUCAUUCGUUCUUUUAUUACUUUACUUCGCUACAUAAGAUAUUCUCCCUCGGUUUCAAUUUAUUUGCUUAAUUACUUUAUUUUUAAGCAAUUUAAAAAAGAAUGUAUCUUUACUCUUUUGGCAACUCUGUAAUUCUAAUUUUUUUACUAUUAAGACCACGACAUUAAAAUACAUUUUGAUAAAUUCUACAUACUUGCAUUAAUGUACGUAUAAAAUAAUUCAAGUACAUAAUAAUAAAAUGAUAGUGCAUGUAAAUCCUUUAAUUUUUAUUAAUUGUGAUCACAAUUAGUUUGUUGAAUGAUGAAGCAGCAUGAAACAUGACAACACUAACUGCAUGGUAAUGGAUAUAAAUAUCAAGGUUUAAUUGGUGGCGGGCAAGACAUCAUGUGUUAUAUAGAUAAUUUUGAUGUUUUUAAUUUAUGCAUGUUUGUGAAAAAAAAACAAUAUUACAGACUGAGCUGAUCCAUAUUUUUUUUUUAAUUUGAUGAAUCUUGAUUUCUCGAGACUACUAAAUCAAUUGCAUAGAAAAAAAAAGUCGAUUUUGGACCAUUUAAUUUGGAGAUCGAUAUAUAUCGUUGGGAAUGCAUUUACCACUUUUUGUGGGAUUGACAUGUGAGAUGAACCGGCCAUGUGAACCUUAUUUAAAGCCACACAUUCCAUUUCUUAUCCCACUUUGUUUUCUAAUAUUGUUCACUUUUAAUUGUCAUGUUGAGUUUUUUAAAAGUUAAUUUGACUAAUUUUCAAAGUUAAAUUAGAUUACAUUAAUUUGAUAUUUUAAACAAAAAAUUAUGAUAUUUAAAAACUAUACAAAAAGUACUAUAAACUCCAAUUUUUUUGCAUAUCAAUAUGAUGAAAAAAUAUUUCAUAAAAUGUUAGUCAAAGUUAUUAUUGUUUAACUCUAAAAAAAGAAACUAUAACAAUUAAAAAUGGACGGAAAUAGUAUAUACCAUUUUCCAUUUUAGAGUACAAUAUGUUGUACUCUAGUAACUAAUUUGGAUCUAUCAUCUAUCUUUUGUUUUAUUUUUUGAUAAUUACAUAUGAAUGAUUUGUUAUAAUCAAAUUACUGUAACUAUUUUAAAAUGUGAAGUUGAAAUUUCACGGUGAAUUUUGAAGUCCUUAGAUUAUGGAGAUAGUUUCUAAUCUUAUGUUCUAGGAUCGAUACUCUUUCUCUACAUAAAUAUAUACAUAAAAUUUUAAAAAAUAUUUUAUAUAUUACCAUAUAAUAAAUUACCAAUCGAGUGAAUUCAUGAUUCAUCCCCUAGCUAUCUCCUAGAUCCUCCCUGUUUGUGUAUAUAACUAGACUCAUUAAUUAUUAUUGUUGCAUUUGUGAGGCCGUAAAGGCGAAAGGUGAAUUUCAGGAGUUGAUCUUUUUCGAAAACUAUAUAUUUUUAUUUGUUUAAUUAAUUUUUAAAAAUUAAGAAAUAAUUUAUUAUUUUAUAUCUAUUUUAUCCAUCCAAAUACAUAAAUACAUUUACUCUUAUGCAGUCAUUUGUCUGUUUUGUAUAGGACCGGUUUAUUAUUAAUUUGGUUAGACGACUAGAGACAAAUUUUUGAUAGUUUAGAACUUUAGAUUAUUAUUCAUUAAUUAAUCUUUUCACCGUUGCUAAUUGUCAAAAGUAUAGUACCAGACAAAAUGUUCCAAUCAUAUUUAUUGGAGUUUAAUUCUUUUUAUGGCUUUUUUGCCUCGAUCUGCAAUUUAUGUGUAUUUUUUGAAUAUUUUUUUUCUCAAUAUAAGGUUUCAAUGUUGGUGUGUAGGUGAGCUAUUUCACUCCUCCUUUAAUAAUAGAUCCUUGGCACGCCAAAAUAUUAAUUUAUAGAUAGUAAUUGGCAGAGUUGUUUUGACUAUUAAAGAUAGUAGGUACCUCACAUCUUGAAUUCUGAGUCCGCUUCUGUUUAUUUUUUUCUUUUAAAAUAAAGCUAAAUGGAAAUUUCUAACUUAUAUUGGACCACUUAAUUUGUCUAAUUAAAUGCCUACACUUUGGUUGAAGAUAAUUUGUUGUUUUCUUCGUUGACAUGCAUUCAAAUAUACGUUGGAUUUGUUCCAUUUAGCCAAUUAAUUAUUUCCUAAUCAGGAGUUUCUUCACUCUCAUUAUCAGGAAUCUCAAAAAUUGAAAUUUGAAAGACGGUAACAAUAAUUGAGCCAGUUUCUUUCAUAAAACCAAAUUUCAUUCCUAUAUUACAAAAAAUAAAAAUAAAAAUAAAAUCCCUAUAGUACACCGAACUGAGAAAGCAUGACCAAAAAAGACGAACCUAAACAGAGAAGAUAUUUUUUUUCAGUUUUAGAUAAGAUGGCCACACAAUCGUGACCUAUUUAUCUUACUUCUAAUCAAAGAAAAACUCCGAUAAGUAAUACCAUAUUAAUUAAUCCUCAAAGGGAAACUUUAUUUCCUUUUGAAGCCAUCACUGCGAUACUUCAAUUAUUUGUGAAACGUCCUUUUUCAUCAAUAAAAUAUAAUCUAGUUAGAUACUAUGAUCACUUGGAGGUUGAGUUUCUGUCUCGUUGAGUAGCAAGGAUAGCAUCAAUGGCCUCUUUUACUUGUGAAAUGUCUGGUGCUUUUCCACCUUGUGUAGGCCAAAAUUCAUCCGUUGCCAAAACCUAUAUUCAUAACGACAUUAUGAAUUUAACUUCUGUACGUUGAAACAAUGUAAAAUUGUUCUAUAUUAUUAUUAUUAUAUCGAUAAUUACUCUUAUAUCAAGUAAUGAAGUUAGUAACUCGAAAAAUAAAAUAACUAACUUAAUUCAAGAGCACAAAAAUCAGACAAAAAUACUCAUGAGGUUUAAUAUAAUUUAUAAAUAUUUACCGUCACUUGCAAUUGAAGAAACUUGACGUAACCGAUUGCUUUCUCUAACAUGGUGACCAAAUCAACCUACAUUAAUUAAUAUGAACCAUGAAUAUUUAUGAUCAAUUUCUAUAAGAUUUAAUUAGUAAAUAAAACAUUAAAAUGAUUUAAUUUAUUAAUUAACCUUGUACGUACCUUGGAACCAUUAGGAACAAGUUCUUGUAGUAUCUUAAGACGCUCACUAAUCCUUUCUCUACGAUUCUACAAACAAACAUUCCUUUUUAAUCUUAAUAAGCACGCAAUAAUUCAAACAUUAAUUAAUUACUUCAAAAAUAAGCAAUGCAAACCUUGGCUGCAAUACUCUGUGGAUCCUUUGUACCAACUGAAUUAUUAUUAUUUGGUUUCCCCUUUUUUGAACCCGCAGUACAUUGCUUCUUAUUUGUCUGCAUGCUCUCUUCCUGCAUUAAAUUAAAUCAAAUCAAAUUUUCAAUACGUGGAAUUUAGAUAUUGUGAAUUAUGAAUUGAGGAGCUGACUUUACAAGUAUAUAUCAAAUUUGUUCUAUACUUAUUUUUCGUACAUAUAAAUAGGUUCUAGCUUCAAACCACUGAAUUUUACCUGACUCGAGAACCUAUGAUUGGAUCCACCACGGGAUACUUUAUGGUAUAUUACAAUCUCAUUACAAAAAAAUAGCAUCAAAAAUUUGGAAAACUAAUUAAUUACCACGAAGAAUAUGAUUAAGAUAUUGAGACAUAAUAUAAUUGGAUUAUUAACUAAAAUUGUGAUCUCUUUAAUGGCUAAAUUUUUUAGAUUAGAUAGUUAGAUAAUUGAGUAUUGAAUUUCAAAUCUCAUGAUCGUCACCUAUAAAAAUAAAAUAUUUUCAUAUAUUUGACCUUUAAAAAUAAAGAAAAUUACCGUGGAGGGACGCUUAUUGAAACGUGAUUCAUCAACAUGAGUAGUGAUGCUUGCAUUAGCUUCAGAAUUUAGCCAUCCAAAUGGUAUUCCAUUAUUAUUGGAAUUCUCAUUAAUCACUCUAGGACUAGUGUUACUACUUCCCUUAGGAGUAACACAAUUUUGAUAAUGCAAAUUAUUAUCUUCCCAAACAGAUCCUUCAACUUGAUUAAUACUACUAAUCAUUCUUGGAUUUGGGCAAAAUCUUUCACUUUGUUCAAAACUCAACAAAGAUCCAUUUGCUGAAUGCAUAAAAUUACCAUACACCCCUUUGAAGUUAAUAACAGAUUGACCAUUGGAAUUGGAACUACUAGGGCUAGAAAGGGAAGAAUUAGAACUGCUUAAAGCAAAAUUCUUGGCUAUUUUUGGACUUGUUUUUUCUGAAUUUUCACAUUCUUCAAAAAUUGACUUUGGAGGUUCUUCAUGGAUCCCAUAUAACUCUGGGGAUGAAUGAUCAUUGAUCCCAAAUUCACCUUCAUAAUAUUGAUCAUAAUUGUCAACCAUGCCCAUUUUUGUAUCACUCAUAAUAACAUGUUCUUUUGCUAGUGCCAUAGACAUAUUUAUGAUUUUAGAGAAUUGUGUAAAGAACAAAGAAAAGAUCUAGAUGAAUAUAAUAAGAAGCUAGCUAGCUCUAAAUUUUGUUUUGUUUGUUUCUAGUGAAAAAGGUCCAAUUGUCUUAUUGGAACAAGUGUGAAACUAAGAUACUAGAGUAUAUAUAGAUUGCAAUAUAAUUCCUUCCGUCCAAUUUUACUCGGUCCACCGUAUUAAAAAUAAAUAUCUAUUUUAUUCAUCCAUUAAAUUAAAAAUAGAUGUCCAUUUUUAUUUAUCCAGUUUAAAAAAAUUAAGAGACCAUUUAUCAUCUUAUACAUAUUUUACCCUUAAGGUUAAUUUUGUGAUAUAAUAAAAUUGACAUGUCAAUUUUAUUUAUUACUCCCUCAGUUUCUAUUUAUAUAUCGUCUUUAUUAAAAAUAAAUGUUCCUUAUUAUUUGUCAUUUCACAAAAUCAAUGCAUAAAUGACACUAUUCUUUUUAUUUUACGCUUGAAAGUAUGAAUUAACCAAAUUGAGAAUACUAAAUAGUUUAUUCAUAUUCAUUGGUUAAAUUAAUUAAUCAAAAUAAAUUAAUUCAUGUCCAUUUAUCGAAAACUUAACUUCAAGAGAACACUAAAUAAAAGUACAAUGAUAAAUAUAUUUACUUUCCUAAGAGACGUGAAAUCUAAAUGAUGACAACUAAAUAAUAACGGAGAAAGUACUUUUUAUCGGAUAUGUCAAGUCAAAUAUAAACAGCAAUAGUGAUUAAAAUAUAUAGAGAUUGAUAGUAAUUAAUUAGCUGACAGAAUAGAAAGAGAUAAGUGAUUAAUAGUUAAAAUAAAAAUAGAAGAAAUCAGCAAAACCUUCGGCGUUUCUUACGCUUAACCCACGUCUCAGAUUCCAAUUAAUACAUUGUUAAUAAGUUUUCAAAUUCCAAAAAAAUGGACUUUGUUUUGUUGAAGGGUUAUUUCCUACCAACUUUCCUUGAGAAGCCAAUUAACUAAGGUAGAGAGCACGUGGAUCUUUCUAUUUUAUAAUUAUAUUUCACAUUCCAUGGAGCUAACUACAUGCUUUUUCCAGCCUAAAUUUGUUUGAAAAUUCCUUUUUUUGUGUUUGAUUGAGAUAUACUUAACAUGCUGACAGAUUCACUUGGAAUUUUUUUAAUUUUGGUCUGAUCAGUCUAUUCUUUUUAACUUAAUUUUCAUGGUUUCAGUAAUAAGAAUUUUAAUUAUUUAUUUGAUCCUUUUAUGAGCUAUAUGUUAGUGAAAACUUACAAGAUAACAAAAAUACAAGAUUACAAUCGAAAAUAAAAUGAAGAAAAUAAAUCUCUUCAGGCUGAGGCGCGGAUAUCUUCGCUCUCUUUAAGGAGAUUCAAGCCCACUGCAGCAAAUGUUUUCACCGGUCCAGCAGUAGUCCUCUUUGACUUGUCCCCUCCAGGAUACAACAACCUUCACAAAGUAUAACUCAACAACUCUGGACAAGAGUUGAGUCCAAAGCUCCACAAAAAGAACACCUUCCUUCAACUAAUAAGAACUCACUUUUUGACAAACUUUUCCUCUCUAUCUUUUCUUAUGUAUUGUAUAUCUCACAAACCAAAUGAAGACCACCACUAUUUAUACUAGAAGAAGUCUUCCUAGCAAUGAAUAGAAAGAUAAUGGGGUAGUAAAUAGUGGAGAUAAAUGGCCUAGAGGUUACAUAUGUUACAAAGAAUAAUGAGUGAAAUAAGGUGAGGGCAUCCAAUGCCACAAACGUGCAAAACUGAAGAGCUGCACAACCACCAUAAUUCACAACGUUCACUUGAACGUUUAUCACCAUGAAUAAUGGCAUUUAAGCCAAAUAACAAUUGGCAUUACUCAGCCACUUAAAGGAGAAUCAGGUGACCAACAAUCAAUAGAGGAAGUACUGCCUUAGAGGCAACUCCAACGGACAGAAUCAAGUUGUCAAUGUGGCAAUGCAAAUAAGCAUACUUUUAUAAUAUUAAAAUGCUCACACUAACACUAUAUAUUGGUCAUUAUUCUUUUACUUUAAUUUGAGUUCGAAACAAUAAAUAAAAACUCACUGUCCUAUUGAGAAUACAUGUUUUGAAGAGACGGAAAAAAAUAGGUGCAUGAUUUCCUAAUUGUAUAGUCUUGUGUAAUUCUAAUUUCCUCGUGAGAUAGUUUUUAUAGUUGAGUUAAGUUCAAUAAUAUCUAUUUUCUUACAUAUCAAAAUAAGUUUAUCACAAUUAUUUAUGAAUGUUGAACUCUCAUAUUAAAUUGCUCACGCAACAAGCAAUCAUCAAUAGGUAAAAUUUAUAGUUUCAUCUGUACAAUUUGGUAUCAGUCAAGUUGUAUUAUUGUGAAUGACAUGCAGCACCCCAAUCAGGUUCAAUAUUCAAAUAAUCAAGUGGUUUGCAUGGAAUUUAAUUUCUUUCCAAUUAUUGACCUUAAUUAAUAUUGGGACACAACUUCCAUUUUGUUGACUAAUAGUGGCACUGUUGGUUGUACUUCUAAUAAUAAAUAACCUCUCUCAUAAAACGACUAAUAUACUUCGUCCGUUCGCUCUUACUUGUCAUGAUUUUACUUAAUAAUUAAUAAUAUAGAUAUUUUACCAAAUUAUCCCUUAUUAAAUGAUGUCUUGGAAAAUAAUUUGAAAAAUAAAUAUUUAAUGUUGAGGGUAAAACAUAGAAAAAAGUUAUUGUCUUUUUUUGAUAUGUCAAAAAUGACAAGUAAAAAUGAAAAUUUAUUUUAGAAGUAAGUGACAAAUAAAAAUGAACGGAGAGUAUAUAUAAUACACACGUAUAUAGUAAGUAGUACUCCCUGCGUCUCAAAAUAUUUAGUAUAUAUUUAUUAUUUUAAAAGUUUAAAAUAAAAUUAAUUAUUUUGUUGUCAUUUUACACUUAAUAUUUAAUUGUUUGUGAAGAGUAUACACACUUCAAUAUAUUCUGGCACAUACAUAGCACUUAAUAUUUAAUUGUUUGAGGAGAGUAUAAACACUUCAAUAUAUUUUGGCACAUAAAUAGAGUAAUUAUUCAAUAAAAUAUAAAUUAUAUCUUAAAAUAUAAAUAAGAAUAAAAUGGUUAAACAUUACUUUUAAUUUAUAUUAUUUUUAAGAAACAUAUAAAUACAAACCAACAACAUAUCAAAUAUAAUCACACCGCAGGUCAAUGAAAGACACGAUAAGGAUUUUGAGAUUGAGAGAGUAAAUCAUAAACGUUUGUACAAUCGAUAAUUCUUGAGAAGUUAAUGGUAAUAUAUAAAAUUACUAUUAAUAAAUUAAGCAAUUUUUAAAAAUGUAAAUUUGUGAAACCCGAUGAAGAUUGUCAUCCACAUGGUUGUGUGUUUUGUGACAGACAAGUCGAAAUGGGGAAUGUGAAAAUCAAAGCUGGAAUUGAGAGAUGAACACAAUUCCAUGUCUCAAGGACAUUAUGUUUUUUUUUUUUCACUAAGUAAGUUGAAUAUCAUUGAUUAUGUUUUGUUUUUUUAAAACUUUCUAGUGCAUUUUAUUUAAGGCGGUAUUUUCGGUCUAUUUUAUUUUUCAUGUUUCUUUAAAAUAUUUUUUGAAAAGUUAUUUGAUUAAUUCAUCCUUAUUACUAUGUUUUUCACUAUAUUAAUUUCUCAAUAUGUAAUAUGAAUUGAGCAGAGAUAAAGUAAAAACAGAUAAUUAGUUUUGUCUGUUAUCUAAAAUAACGAUAAUUGUUUUGGAUAAGUUAUUUUUAAUAGAUAUUAAGCACGAUAAUUAAAAUGAAUCGAAGGGAGUAAUACUAUAUGUACUUAUAUAGUAUAUAUUGUACUAUUUACCCCAUGUAGACUGUAGUACCACCCUUUAGAAUAGUUAUGGCAAGCCCAUGUUCAUUUUUAAGCUCCAGAAUAUAUCUUAUCUGGGGCAGAUAAUAUGUAUGUAAAAAAAUUUACUAAUAGACAGCUAAUAUAAUUAAGCCUCAAUAAAUUACUUAACUAAGAUUUUUAUUGAAUUUGAUUAAGUAUGGAUCCCUUUAAUACUGCUCUUUUAACGUGGGCUGCUGCUACGUGUCACUGUGCUAGCACAUGGACAGAGACAUCAUUAGAAUUUAAAUUGUUGUUUAAUUAUUAGUAAAAUAAACUUCAAGAUAUAUAUAUAUAUAUAAAUACAGUAGGAAAUUUGUUAAUUCGUUUAACAAAUAGUGUUAUGAAUGAAGACAGAUUAAUUUAAUUUACUCGAACUUAUUUCAAUUUUGUGCAUAUCAAUUCCCACAUGGUGUAGAUAAAUGGUCACUACAGUUGUACCAAUUUGGGAAGAAAGUUGGUCUUAUUCGGAAUAUGAAAAAAAAAAAAAAAAAAAAAGCCUAAAAAAAAAUUAAAACACACAAAGAAGUCAAUGGGGAUCCGGGUGAAAACACUACCCCUAAAUCCGCCUAUCAUAGUGAAGGUCGCCAUUUUAAUUUUAGGUGAUACUAAGCAAAUACCCCAUAAAAAUAAAACAAUUACAAACAUAUACCCCUUUACAUUCAUAUAUGAUAUCCCACCAAAUAAUUACAUUAUAUACCCCCAACUAAUUUCGCUUAACUAAUACUAAAUCAGUAUCAUAUACUGUAUUGGUAUCAUUAAGGCUUAUAAUUUUGCUUAAUUGAUACUAAAUCAGUAUAUAUAUAUAUAUAUAUAUUGUAUUGGUAUCAUUAAGGUUUCUUGUUCAGAAUAUAUAUAGGUAUCAUUAAGGUUUCUUGUUCAGAAAUUACUCACUAGUAUCAAUUAAGUGAAAUUAUCAGCCUUAAUGAUAUCAAUACAGUAUAUGAUACCGAUUUAGUAUCAGUUAAGCAAAAAUUAUCAACCUUAAUGAAUGUGGGGUAUGGACUGUAAUUUUUUUUGAAAAAAUAAGUAUUUCUUGAAUUACUUUGGAUUGGGGUAUGAACAUGUAAUUAUGUUGUGUUUUAUGGCCCAUUUAUGUAGUUUUUUCCUUAAUGUUAUUCCAAUGUUUAAAAAUUGUGCAAGUAUAAUUCUUGAAAGAUUACUCUUAUCUACAUUGUUAAAUUGGAGUCUAAUGUAUUAGUCAUAUGUGAUAUAUUGCUCAACUAUACGGACAAACAAUAACAUACAUAAUUUUAUACUGUGAUCCAACAGUUUUUCUUAAAAAAUUCAGCUUGUUCAAAGGUUCUUUAGAUUACAGUUUAAAAAGGACAAUAAAUUACAAUAAAAAUAAAAAGAAGAUCAUUUACUAAACAAUUGACAAAAUUUCACAAAUUUAACUCGCAUUGUGACCUGCUUUAGUUUUCAGAUAACUAUUAUUAUGAAUUAAUUAAUGCAAUAAUUAUCUUUACAAGUGACCAGAUACCUAUAAAAAAUGUUAGCACUAUUUAUGCCUAGAAAUUAGAAGAUAAAAGAGUUCAAAUAACUAGAUUAUAUAAAAAUUAUUUGUGAAAUUUGUCAGUUGUUCAACUUUCAAAAUGUUUAUGCUGAAUCUGGGAUUAUUUUCAUGUGAAGGAAUUUGCUAGAUUAAAUAAUUAAUGUGAGACAAUCUUGUCGAAGAAAAAUUGUGAAGAUUAAAGUUAGGGAGCUUGACGAAGAACAAAAUACGUUGGGAAAUUUUGGGUUUCAUAAUGCUAUGUUUUCGUAACAUAUUAGCCUCAAAAUGCACCACAAAACAAACAUGAUUCAAGACCUCAGAGCCAUGGUGUUAGAGUCGGAUCCAUCUCAAUUCAUAGUUGAUUCAAUGUUGAGCCCCUGUAUUGUGUUGUUCAUGCUUCAAUUGACAGGGCUAGGUGUGCAGAGGUGUAUGCUGUUACACGUCUGUUGUGCUUGAUUGAUCGACUUAUAUGGUCUUGGGUAAUCCUCAUAAGGUUCUUGCAAUUGUGAAACCCAUUUCACUUAUUAGCAUUAGAGCCAACAAUGCAAGAAAACGCUAUAAGAAGUAUAAAGUGUGCCAAAAACUAGAAAGACACCAAUAUUUUAUCGAACCCAUAAAGAAACUAUCCACGACUACAGCAAAAGUUGCAUGUCUUUGACAAGGCGGACACUGUCCGUACCAAGUUACUACAAGGAGCAACAACUUACAGAAGAUUAACAUACAUUUAUGCGUUGUUAAGGUGAGUGGUAACAGAUAUUGGACUCCGUUCCAGAAAAUGCAACAUAUUCCAACUGAUGAACUAAUCCCAGCAAACACAAUUGGCGUUUCAUUAAGUUCC
rnacentral:lncRNA from 1 species